UACGUAGGGUGCGAGCGUUAAUCGGAAUUACUGGGCGUAAAGCGUGCGCAGGCGGCUUCGCAAGUCAGGCGUGAAAUCCCCGGGCUUAACCUGGGAAUGGCGUCUGAAACUACGGAGCUGGAGUGUGGCAGAGGGAGGUAGAAUUCCACGUGUAGCGGUGAAAUGCGUAGAUAUGUGGAGGAAUACCGAUGGCGAAGGCAGCCUCCUGGGCCGAACACUGACGCUCAUGCACGAAAGCGUGGGGAGCAAACAGG
rnacentral:rRNA from 1 species